UUUAUUUGGGUUAGAUUUUGAUUUUUGUUAAGUUGUGAAUAAUUUGAGGUAUGUGAAUCGGUGGGAUAAUAUGAUAAAGUGAAAACUAUUAAGUACAGAGGAUCCCUUGUAAUUUUGAGUUGUUGUAAAGAUUCGAGGUAAUUUGAUUAAUCUUUUGGAGUAAAUGAAUUUUGUGAUUAUUUCCUAGUAGAAUAUUGGAGUUAUCUUAUAUGAAAUUUUGAGUGAUAGUAUGAGGAGAUCUUGGAAUUUGUUGGGUUAA
rnacentral:lncRNA from 1 species